rnacentral:rRNA from 1 species
UACGUAGGGGGCAAGCGUUGUCCGGAUUUAUUGGGCGUAAAGAGCGUGUAGGCGGUUUGGUAGGUCCGUUGUGAAAACUCGAGGCUCAACCUCGAGCUGUCGGUGGAAACCGUAAGGCUAGAGUCCGGAAGAGGAGAGUGGAAUUCCUGGUGUAGCGGUGAAAUGCGCAGAUAUCAGGAAGAACACCCGUGGCGAAGGCGGCUCUCUGGGACGGUACUGACGCUGAGACGCGAAAGCGUGGGGAGCGAACAGG